rnacentral:lncRNA from 1 species
AUAAAUGCAUUGUCCAUAAUUAAGGUCUACAAGUAUGGUUACUGAUAUUUUUGAGUUCCCUCUCAUUUUUGUUGAAUGAUAUUUUUCCAGAUUAGUUCUUGUUUUGUUUGAGGACAAACAAAGUCUGAAGUCUGGGGGAGUUGAUAACACCGGAUUUUGACCAUUUUUCACCAUUGAUUUCAAAUGCUUUUUCAAAGGUUUUACUUAGUUUUAGGAACUUUAAUUAUGUUUUCCAUGUAUUUGUAGUUUCAAGGCUCUUUUCAGGAGACUUAGGGAAUAUGAUUACAAAAUGGAAGAAAUCCACAUUUUUAGCUCAGAGUCAGACCGUCAGAAGUUCAGCCUCAAAUGAAGACUUUCUUACCGUCCGAUCCAGCUCAAAUUUGGAGAAAAUCAAGAGGAGACAACCAGCUUUCCAUAUCACUUUACAUCACAAAGAUCCAACGGUGCAAUCAAAAUAUACAUGGAGAACAAGUUGCAUCAGUUCACCAGUCCCGGAAGACUCUCACCCGCGGGAAACACAUGUUUUACCUGCCCUGGAAGACUCUCACCCCCGGUGGACCUUAGGACAAGCCACAAGGCCCAACAUCAAAGCCCACUUCGCCAUUUCUCUUCAGAGAAGCCCUAAAUGAGACCUGGAAUACCUUAGGACCUAUAAAUACAUUGUUUAGCAGCCCUAAACGGGUGUGUGCUCCUGUAAUGAGAUUUUGAGCC